CUUUGCAUUGGACUUUGAACCAAUCUGUGUAGGAUAGGUGGGAGGCUUUGAAGUAGGGACGCCAGUUCCUAUGGAGCCAUCCUUGAAAUACCACCCUGGUUUGUUUGAGGUUCUAACCUUGGUCCGUAAUCCGGAUCGGGGACAGUGCAUGGUAGGCAGUUUGACUGGGGCGGUCUCCUCCCAAAGUGUAACGGAGGAGUUCGAAGGUACGCUAGGUACGGUCGGACAUCGUGCUAAUAGUGCAAUGGCAUAAGC
rnacentral:rRNA from 1 species